ACAGCAGUAGCCGCGGUAAUACGAAGGGUGCAAGCGUUAAUCGGAAUUACUGGGCGUAAAGCGUGCGUAGGCGGUUUGUUAAGUCUGUUGUGAAAUCCCCGGGCUCAACCUGGGAAUGGCAAUGGAUACUGGCAAGCUAGAGUGUGUCAGAGGAUGGUGGAAUUCCCGGUGUAGCGGUGAAAGGCGUAGAGAUCGGGAGGAACAUCAGUGGCGAAGGCGGCCAUCUGGGACAACACUGACGCUGAGGCACGAAAGCGUGGGGAGCAAACAGGAUUAGAUACCCCCGUAGUCCCUGUCUCUUAUAA
rnacentral:rRNA from 1 species